rnacentral:lncRNA from 1 species
ACGACGGAGGGGCGGCGGCGGCAACCCUCGAUGGGGAGUGGAAAACGAGAGAGGGAGGUCGCGUGAUAGGCUGUGAAAAUAAGGCAACUGAGGGAGGUGUUAUCUGGGUAGAUACCUGUGACAGUAAAAUCUGUGCGGUGGCAUAGCCGAACGGGCGCCCUUUGCGCCACCGUUAAUGGGUUUAAUUGGUGAGCAUGUCAUGGUGGGAGGCGAUCACAUCAUCCGGGUGCCCGUGCUUCACGUCGCCUAGGUAGGCUAUGUAAAGCUAGAGAGGCACACAUGCAGAUAUAAAUUCAUGGUUAAUUAAUUAGAUAGGAAUUAACAUGCACCACUGCUUAAAUAAACUAGAAUCGUACGUGUAGAGUAUGCGUGCAACCGUGCAUUCACACGGAUGCACACAUGUGCUAUAUCUGAGCAUUUGCGUUUAUACUGUGUUCAAAAACAUGCAUGUAGAGUCCGAGCAAGUUUUUCUUUUGAAAAGAGAAUAUAUUAAUAUCAAGUAUUAGAUAUCAACUACACCCAGUCUCUGCACCAAGAAAAUGCCUAAAAACAACCAGAAUGCAGAUAACCAAAAAAAAAGGAAAAAAAGAGAAAAAAGUCCGAGCAUGCUUACCUUGCCAGACUCUCCCCCUUGGGCUCCUCUGAGUAACAGCGUGCAGGAGCAAAGCAGCAAGAGCACCCGAGCAGCCACCCGUGCGUGCUGUGAGGAAGAACACAUUUGCUGCAAUAUCAUGUUGUUUCACCCAGUGCCAAUGCCGGCGCUAUGCAGGGCGCUAGCUAGCUAUAUAGGAGAAUGUAUCCAGUGCAACCUACAGAACUGGUGCACCACCCACUUAUGGGCUGUUUGAUAGAAGAGGAAUGGACAAGAUCCAGCUACAGGCACAUUUAC